CGGCCUCCAAUUGCUUUAUCAUCAUUAAGUGAUUUUCUCAGAUUUUUCGCCGCGUAUGUUUAUUCUCUAAAAAGCCGCUUCGCAUAUUUACUCCAGUAAAGAAUAAUUCAGUAACAUUCCGUCAACAUCUACAGUAUGUAAGUAAUUUAUAUCUAUUUAUUAUUACACUAUUUAUUCACUGAUCUCUGAGCUAUAAUCUAUCAUUUAUUAUAUAUUAAUAAGUAUGGUGUGUAUAUAUAUAUAUAUAUAUAUAUAUAUAUAUAUAUAUUGUAUGUAUGUUGCCUUGUCUGUAUAUUUUCAUUCCCAUUUUUGCGCCAUGAAAAAAACAAAAAAAAAACACAAGACAAAAAAAAAAUCCCCCCAUUCAUUGUGUAUGUGUCUGAGUGGAAUGUUCGAGACAGACAGGCGCUCUUUUACAAAGCUCAGACACAGAGAUAACAGAUGGCACCAGCGCUAAAGAAAUGGCAAGGGAGAAAGAAAAAGGAUGAGAGAGAGAGAGAGAGAGAGAGAGAACGAAUCAGAUGAGCAGAAAGAGAGUGAAACUGCUUCUCUCUCUACACGAGUCUCCAAGGAGCAUCAGAUCCACAGCUUAUUGCUUAGUGACAGUUCUACAUUAACUACAGAAUACAAUCCUGUGUUCCAUCACCUCAGCAACGCCGACACGCCACACUCACACACACACACACACACACACACGUACACACCAUCGGAAACUGCCUACAAACUUUAAAUUAAUUUCCUUACUUCGGUGUUUUCUCCUGCUCAAUAAGUGAUGCCAAAAUCAGCACUCAAAUAUGAAUACACGUACAGUUUAGUCCAAAACUCUGAGUCCACUUUCGAGAACAUGUUUCUAACACAGAUUUGAAACAAGCUAUCUGCAGGAUUAAGCAAAUUCAAUUUAAUGCUGUUUUUUUUUUUUUUUUUUAAAUCGGGUAGCAAAUGCUAAUUAUCACGCUAUCGUACAGUACAUAAUGCAUGGGUUAAAGUUCAACCAUGUCUGAGUAUUACUAAUAGUAAGGGCCACAAUAGCAUGACAACAACAAAAUAACAAAUAGCCAUGUAUAAUAUACAGUGCAGUGUGGAUAAAGCACCGCUCGUCUACAAAAAAAAUAAGUCCUUCUUGUUACUCAUUUUUAUGCCAGAAAUACCCUUUAAAAUAUACUUCAAACAUGAUGGAAGAUACUGACGAAAAAGCAUUUCUGACAUUCGACUUGACCCUGUCUGGAUCGAUUCCAAAAUUGGAUCCGUUCACCUGCUGGUUGAAACGAUAAAAUUCCAUACGGAUUCGACGCAGAUUUAGAUACUCCUUCUUAAGAUAUUGCGCUAAUGACGAUCAGGAACAGGAGGACAAACUGGCAAAAACGAAUACAAAUACUAAUGAUAAUGAAAAAGCAUGGCAGAAUGAGUAACGUCUGUAAGAGACUCAUUUGCAUUAUCUGCUAGCAUUCCUUUUGAUGAUAAUUUAAUAGAGCCCACAUUUAAAAUGUACACACCAGGCUGCCAUGGAUUACUCAGUAUGUCUUUAAUUCAAACCGACAAAGUUCUGAAAGAGGAGCUGUUUACGGAGAAAUCACGAUUGACAGAAUCUCAGCACUUACACCCUUUCCUGGUCAACAACAACUACAUCAAAAUGUUGCCAAUUAUAUCUGAAUUCAGGUAUAUCUACCAUCCAAAUUAUAUCUGAAUUCAGGUAUAUCUACCAGCAUAAUUAUAUCUGAAUUCAGGAAUAUCUACCAUCCAAAUUAUAUCUGAAUUCAGGUAUAUCUACCAUCCAAAUUAUAUCUGAAUUCAGGUAUAUCUACCAGCAUAAUUAUAUCUGAAUUCAGGUAUAUCUACCAUCCAAAUUAUAUCUGAAUUCGGGUAUAUCUACCAGCAUAAUUAUAUCUGAAUUCAGGUAUAUCUACCAGCCAAAUUAUAUCUGAAUUCAGGUAUAUCUACCAGCAUAAUUAUAUCUGAAUUCAGGAAUAUCUACCAGCAUAAUUAUAUCUGAAUUCAGUUAUAUCUACCAGCAUAAUUAUAUCUGAAUUCAGGAAUAUCUACCAGCAUAAUUAUAUCUGAAUUCGGGUAUAUCUACCAGCCAAAUUAUAUCUGAAUUCAGGUAUAUCUACCAGCCAAAUUAUAUCUGAAUUCAGGUAUAUCUACCAGCAUAAUUAUAUCUGAAUUCAGUUAUAUCUACCAGCAUCAGGUCAUUUGUUUUCAGACAACCACAAUUUAAAAAUAUUGUAAUCGACACUUUGUGGACACAAUCUGGCAACGCAGGUACAAAUGGUGCACUGUGUUUAAGUCGUACUUUAAAGCAUAAUUUCAACUAGGCGUGGAUGAUAUGGCAGAGAUAUCAUAUCAUGGUACUGGAAGCCAUUUUUGUGAUAAACAAUCUGUGAAAAAGAAACUAUUCGAUAAGUGAUACAUAUAUUUUAUGCCUAACAAAAUGGAAAAAUGGAGAAUUAUUUUCAUUUAUUUAUUUAUUUUGUACGAAACCGGAUUCUGCUGUAUAAUAAACUACUCGCUAUUGUAUCAGUGGAGUUCAAGGUGAACAUAUCUAAAGGUAAAAGAUGGCUAAAAGUACUCACCUUACUUCACGAGAGAAUAAAUGGUACAUUGACAAGCCAAUAAAACAGGCUGUGAACAUUAUGUACUUUACACUGAACUGCUGAUUCCAUCAAACUAGUAGAAUACUUCCCAAAUUUUGCUUUCCUCAUACUGUAUAUACACAGUCAGGUCCAAAAUUCUGAAGUUGUUUGGAAGGGAUUCAAGAAAAAAGCCUCUACUCUCGUCCAAAAACAAAGUCGAAUGUGUUCAGUGUGCAGACACUACUGGAACUUUAAAUGGGAUCGGGUUCUAUGGUCAGAUGAAACCAAAAUUGAGCUUUUUGGCAAUAACCCCCAGAGGUGGUUUUGGUGCACACAGAGAGGUAGCCGUAUGGAAAAGUACCUCAUGCCUACGGUUAAAUAUGGUGGUGACUCUUUAAUGUUUUUCUGCCAGAGGAUCUGGACAUUUUGUUAGGAUACAUGGCAUCAUGGACUCUAUCAAAUAUCAACAGAUAUUAAAUGAAAACCUGACUGCCUCUGCCGGAAAGCUUCAAAUGGGCCGUAUUUGGAUCUUCCAGCAGGACGAUGAUCCAAAACAUCAUCAAAAUCAACACAGAAAUGGUUUACUGACCACAAAAUCAAGUUCCUGCCCUGACUAUCCCAGUCCCCUGACCUGAACCCCAUAGAAACCCUGUGGGGUGAACUGAAGAGGAGAGUCCACCAGCAUGGACCUCGAAAUGUGAAGGAUCUGGAGAGAUUCUGUAUGGAGGAACGGUCUCAGAUCCCUCGCCAUGUAUUCUCCAACCUCAUCAGGCGUUAUAGGAGAAGACUCCGAGCUGUUAUCUUGGCAAAGUGAGGCAGCACAAAGUACUGACUAAAAGGGUGCCAAUAAUUGUUGCACACCUAUAUUUAACAAAGAUAUUUUUUUGAUAAACCUGUGUUGUGUUUGCAAUUCUUUGAUAUUCAUCAGAGCAGAGUAUUUCUGUGAAUUCUUUUAACAAAAGAUCAAAAGGUUCGACAAUAAAGAUGAUUUUCACAGCCUUCUUUGCUCAUAUUUAUCAAGGGUGCCAAUAUUAAUGGUGGGCAGUGUAAAUAUUCAUCAGUCAGGUCAGGUUUUGUUUUUUUUUGUUUUUUUACAGGUUUUUUUUCUGGCCUUUCCGUUCUUGAGCGUCACCAGUGGUUUGCAUCUUGAGGCAUCACGAAGCCGUGUCUUGACUGUAGACUUUGACAGUGACACCCCUCCCUCCUCCAGGGUGUUCUUGACUCGGCUAGAUGUUCCGACGGGGUUUUUCUUCACCGAGGAAAGAAUUCUGCGAUCAUCCACUUUAGCAGUCUUUCCGUGAUCUUCCAGGCCUUUCGGUGUCGCUGACCUCGCCAGUGCAUUCCUUCUUUCUAAGAAUGUACCAGAUUGUUGAUUUGGGCCACUCCUAAAGUUUCUCCUAUCUCUCUGAUGGGUCUGUUUUGUUUGUUCAGCCUAAUAAUGACCUCCUUCAGUUGCAUCCACACCUCUUUGCACCGCAUACUGAGAGCUCCCAUUGAACAGCAACCAAAUUUUACGUCCCGACUGUAAUAUUUAAUUGGAAAUUGUCACAAUAAUUAGGCUAUUGGGCAACGAACUGCCUCCCACCAUCAAUUCAACCAAGCCAUGUUCUCAUCUCUUCAAAGGCUUUACUUGUUCCCACACUGCAUUAUACAGUAUCCUGUAUAUCAGUCCAGAGUGUGUAUAAUUGGUCGAUUACACAAAAUUCACAACUAUGUAUACAUCUCUGAAAAUCACAUUACACCAUCAGAUAAGGACGAGGGAGGAAACGGUCUCAAGCACGUUGAUCAGGAAUACUGAUUUCUACAAAUACUGAGGAGUACUGAGAUAAGCGAGCCUGGAAACAACUGAUGUGUUGCCUAGCAACACUUUGGUUAGCUAAUGGAAUUAUAACCGAACUAAUUUUGGUCUGGCCGCGUCGGCACCUCCUCUUUGUUGGUUAUUUUUCUAUCCCAGCAUGCCCCGUUUUUUAUCCCUUGCAUGAUAAACAGAAAUCCAUACUAACUGAAUCACUAUCAGGCGGUAGUCAUUAUGAAACAACGAUUAACGCUAAUGAAAUAAAUGAGGUCGCGAGACAUUUCGAAAACGAAGCGCGUAACGGGUGAACAGCUCAAAUGGAAGUCAUAUUACGGAUUGAAGCGAGGAUUUCUGAUUUCUUAUGUGCUUCAGUUCUCACUUGGUCAUAGACUCGUACAUUCGGACCCUACUUUGUACAAUGGCAAGAGAGUACACACACUUAGUCCUUGACAACUGAACCUAAGCAGUUCUAUAACGGCAGAGGUGGCUUAGCGGUUAAGGCUUUGGGUUACUGAUCGGAAGGUCGGGGGUUCCCCAGCACUGCCAAUGCGCCACUGUUGGGCCCCAGAGCUCCGGGGGCGCUGUAUCAUGGCUGACCCUGCACUCUGACCCCAGCUUCCUGACAUGCUGGGGUGUGCGAACCAAAGAAUUUCACUGUGCUGUAAUGUAUACGUGAUCAAUAAAGACUCAUUACUCAUUAUAAUAAAUCAAAGAGAGAAUUCAACCAUAGUCCGCUUGGUUUAUUUGAAAAAAAUAAAAAAAAUCAAAAGUGCCUAAUGAUUCUAGAAACAAGGUUACCAUCCUAAAUAUAACAGGCCGUUUUCCUGCCUUUCAAAAAAUAGCCCACGUUAUUUGGCUUUAAAUAAAAAUGGCAGCUGAGGACAUGCCUUCCUGUUCCAUUCAUUACCCUUUAAAAAACAAACAAAAAAAAAAAACACGGAAAAAAAGACCACUGCCCCUGACUCCAGUGCAGUGUCCGAGCCAGGAAGGAGCCAUCGAUCUGUCGAGCAAUCAAACCUCAGUGUGAUCAAUCAAUCACAGAGGUGCUUUAUUUCCUCAACUCGAGUCCAUACACGCAGCUGCUCAAUUCCAGCGAAUUUGCUUUAAUUCAAUCCAGUACACGAAGAAUGAGCUUUGCUGUCCGUUUUGAUUAAAGAUCAAAAUGGCCGAUGGGAUUCAAUUCGGACGAGGAAAAUCAACAAUGAAAAACAUGGCGUCAUUGAUCAUAUGGGAGGAGUUUUUUAAAUACAAAAAAAAAGGGGGGGGAAAAACAGCACUGGUUCACUUUUUCACCUUAAACAAUGACUCUAUCACAGUACCUUUUAUUCAAGUAUAGGUAAGAAUAGAAUAAAACACUUGGGGGCAUGCUGUUAUAGGAAAACGAUCAACGAUGGGUUGGUGCGAUGAGACCUGACACGAAGAUGAUUAUUUUCUAAUAACAGCACGUCGUGAAUUGUUUUAUUCCCGUCAAACCACAGCAAUCUGUCGACGCGUAAAUGUAUUUGUUGAUGAAAGAAGGAUACUUCGCCGUUUUUAUUCAUUUGUAGUUUUUAAUUUUGUAGGAACGUCCACAAAAAACCAAGAAACCAGGACGCACCGUUCUGAAGACUUUCCGGUGGUGGAAAACCUUCUAACUGUGCUGACGAAGUGGAGACUUCCUUCAGUGAAUUUUAAAUCGACAUGUCCUUAUAGAAAGGUUUAUUCUUCGGUUUAGUCUAUGUGGACUGUGCGCUGUACAAGCCAUUAGAACGAGUGUGUUCAUAUAAACCUGUCAUUUGAAUUAGUCUUACUACUACAAGUCUUCCCAAUUAAUAAAAUCAACCUUAACAUUAAUAUAAGAUGAAAACAUUUUCAUCUGCUGAAAAUCCUUCCUCGUCCUUGAAAGAGAGAAAAAAAAAAACACGUUCAAAUUGUCCUUUUUGAUCCCGCACAACAGGAGGCACAUUCUCCCCCCCCUCUCUCUCUCUCACUCUCUCACACACACACACACACACACACA
ensembl:lncRNA